AUCCAGCUGAUUAGUCCCAAAUAGGACGAAACGCGCAUCCUGGAU
rnacentral:hammerhead_ribozyme from 1 species